GCGGUCAUGGCGGAACUGGCAGACGCGCAAGAUUCAGGUUCUUGUGGGGGCAACCCCGUGGAGGUUCAAGUCCUCUUGACCGCA
rnacentral:tRNA from 1 species